rnacentral:rRNA from 1 species
UACGUAGGGAGCAAGCGUUGUCCGGAAUCAUUGGGCGUAAAGCGCGCGUAGGUGGCCUCGUAAGUCCGCUGUGAAAGUCAAAGGCUCAACCUUUGAAAGCCGGUGGAUACUGUGAGGCUAGAGUACGGAAGAGGCGAGUGGAAUUCCUGGUGUAGCGGUGGAAUGCGCAGAUAUCAGGAGGAACACCAAUAGCGAAGGCAGCUCGCUGGGACGUUACUGACACUGAGGCGCGAAAGCGUGGGGAGCGAGCAGG